CCUACGGGUGGCAGCAGUGGGGAAUAUUGCACAAUGGGGGAAACCCUGAUGCAGCGACGCCGCGUGAGGGAAGAAGUAUUUCGGUAUGUAAAGCUCUAUCAGCAGGGAAGAAAAUGACGGUACCUGACUAAGAAGCCCCGGCUAACUACGUGCCAGCAGCCGCGGUAAUACGUAGGGGGCAAGCGUUAUCCGGAUUUACUGGGUGUAAAGGGAGCGUAGGCGGUGUAGCAAGUCAGAAGUGAAAGCUCGGGGCCCAACCCCGGGACUGCAUUGGAAACUGUUGAACUGGAGUGCAGGAGAGGUAAGCGGAAUUCCUAGUGUAGCGGUGAAAUGCGUAGAUAUUAGGAGGAACACCAGUGGCGAAGGCGGCUUACUGGACUGUAAAUGACGUUGAGGCUCGAAAGCGUGGGGAGCAAACAGGAUUAGAUACCCUUGUAGUC
rnacentral:rRNA from 1 species